GGGUCGGUGCCCGAGUGGCCAAUGGGAUCUGGCUGUAAACCAGACGGCUUUGCCUACGGGGGUUCGAAUCCCUCCCGGCCCACCA
rnacentral:tRNA from 1 species